GCAAGUCGAACGCUGAAGCCUGGUGCUUGCCCGGGUGGAUGAGUGGCGAACGGGUGAGUAACACGUGAGUAACCUGCCCCUGACUUCGGGAUAAGCCCGGGAAACUGGGUCUAAUACCGGAUACGACUGCCGGACGCAUGUCUGGUGGUGGAAAGUUUUUUCGGUUGGGGAUGGGCUCGCGGCCUAUCAGUUUGUUGGUGAGGUAAUGGCUCACCAAGACGACGACGGGUAGCCGGCCUGAGAGGGCGACCGGCCACACUGGGACUGAGACACGGCCCAGACUCCUACGGGAGGCAGCAGUGGGGAAUAUUGCACAAUGGGGGAAACCCUGAUGCAGCGACGCAGCGUGCGGGAUGACGGCCUUCGGGUUGUAAACCGCUUUCAGCAGGGAAGAAGCGCAAGUGACGGUACCUGCAGAAGAAGUACCGGCUAACUACGUGCCAGCAGCCGCGGUAAUACGUAGGGUACGAGCGUUGUCCGGAAUUAUUGGGCGUAAAGAGCUCGUAGGUGGUUGGUCACGUCUGCUGUGGAAACGCAACGCUUAACGUUGCGCGUGCAGUGGGUACGGGCUGACUAGAGUGCAGUAGGGGAGUCUGGAAUUCCUGGUGUAGCGGUGAAAUGCGCNGAUAUCNNNAGGAACACCGGUGGCGAAGGCGGGACUCUGGGCUGUAACUGACACUG
rnacentral:rRNA from 1 species